UUCCAAUCCCACCAUAUACACAACAUCACCUUCUUUGGAUGAAGACUGGCCUUUGGUGUGGUGGUGGUGGUUCAUUUCACUUGCCCCACGAUCUUUUCCAUUCCACGUUAUUGCACAGUAUCCACUUUUCAUCGCCCGUCACAGUUUGUUUGAAAAAUGGAACGUUUUGCUGGGCUUCCCUGGUGGCGCAGUGGUUGAGAGU